AUUGUGAUGUCAUGCAUGGGAAGACAAAGUAAAAAGGAGAAAAGGAAACGCUUUUAUAUGAAAAUAAACAAUUUGAGAAGAUUGCUGAAGAAUUAAAAGGAACAGAACAAGAACUAAUUGGUCUUCUCCAAGCCAGAGAGAAAGAAGUACAUGAUUUGGAAAUACAGUUAACUGCCAUUACCACAAGUGAACAGUAUUAUUCAAAAGAGGUUAAAGAUCUGAAAACUGAGCUUGAAAAUGAGAAGCUUAAGAAUACUGAAUUAACUUCACACUGCAACAAGCUUUCACUAGAAAACAAAGAGCUCACACAGGAAACAAGUGAUAUGACCCUAGAACUCAAGAAUCAGCAAGAAGAUAUUAAUAAAUGAACUAGAAUAUGUGAGAGAAGAGCUAAAACAGAAAAGAGAUGAAGUUAAAUGUAAAUUGGACAAGAGUGAAGAAAAUUGUAACAAUUUAAGGAAACAAGUUGAAAAUAAAAACAAGUAUAUUGAAGAACUUCAGCAGGAGAAUAAGGCCUUGAAAAAAAAAGGUACAGCAGAAAGCAAGCAACUGAAUGUUUAUGAGAUAAAGGUCAAUAAAUUAGAGUUAGAACUAGAAAGUGCCAAACAGAAAUUUGGAGAAAUCACAGACACCUAUCAGAAAGAAAUUGAGGACAAAAAGAUAUCAGAAGAAAAUCUUUUGGAAGAGGUUGAGAAAGCAAAAGUAAUAGCUGGUGAAGCAGUAAAAUUACAGAAAGAAAUUGAUAAGCGAUGUCAACAUAAAA
rnacentral:sRNA from 1 species